rnacentral:rRNA from 1 species
UACGUAGGUGACAAGCGUUGUCCGGAUUUACUGGGCGUAAAGAGCGCGCAGGCGGUCGAUCAAGUCGAGUGUGAAAGCCCCCGGCUCAACUGGGGAGGGUCAUUCGAUACUGAUCGACUCGAAGGCAGGAGAGGGUAGUGGAAUUCCUGGUGUAGCGGUGAAAUGCGUAGAUAUCAGGAGGAACACCGGUGGCGAAGGCGGGUUGCUGGGCUGACACUGACGCUGAUGCGCGAAAGCCAGGGGAGCGAACGGG